AUGUCAAAGAGAGCAUUCCUCAAAGGACCCCAUGCCGGAAAUGUGUGCUCCAGCCACAUCAACUUUCGCUCCAGGAAACCAUGUAGAUGGAGGAGAAGGAUAAAUGCCCAAUCAAGCAGCGAACCACAUGAUCCCUGUUCAAUCAAGCACAAGAAGCCUUUAGAAGCUCUUUUGAAGGGUGACAAAAAAAUCCCCUCAAAACAAGGUGAAGAAAAGGAUGAAGCUCACACUCUAGAUAAUCAACAAGAGAAAAGCAACAGCCUCAACUACAUGCUUAUUGGAGAAGCAAAAGAGAACCACGUUCAAAAUGUAGCAGAGAGUGCCAAGGAGGACAUCCCAACAGAGCUCAUUCAGUCCAAAAUAAUUUUCACGGAAUCAAAGCAAACAACAUUUUCUGGUUUUCAAAACACAUCAAUUCAGGAAUUGGACCUGCAGAGGAAAAAAUUUAGGGGGCGCCCGGAUAACCUGAGCAUAGACAUUAAUGUAAAAUCGCAACCAGAGAGUGGGACACAUAUAGAUGAGGUUUUUGCAAGAGGCUAUAAAAUCAUUAGCGACUUUCUAGACAAGGCAAGAGAAAAAUACUUGUUCGCCGAUGAUAGCACCCCCUCAUUCAGGAUCUCUGAAGAUGUGGAUGAAUGUGGAAAUAUAAUCAAAGAACAUGAAUUGUGGAGGCCUGUAUGGAUGAAGGAUGAGUGUUCCAAUAAAAAGAUAGAGGCAACGAAGUUGAAGAUCGCCAGAAACUUCAAGGAAGUAGAGCCAGAAGAACUUGACAUUUGUGUGCAAGGGAAUACAAACUAG
rnacentral:rRNA from 1 species